rnacentral:rRNA from 1 species
CCUACGGGAGGCAGCAGUGGGGAAUAUUGGACAAUGGGGGGAACCCUGAUCCAGCCAUGCCGCGUGUGUGAAGAAGACCCUCGGGUUGUAAAGCACUUUCAGUGAGGAAGAACGCCUGGUGGUUAAUACCCAUCAGGAAAGACAUCACUCACAGAAGAAGCACCGGCUAACUCCGUGCCAGCAGCCGCGGUAAUACGGAGGGUGCGAGCGUUAAUCGGAAUUACUGGGCGUAAAGCGCGCGUAGGUGGCUUGAUAAGCCGGUUGUGAAAGCCCCGGGCUCAACCUGGGAACGGCAUCCGGAACUGUCAAGCUAGAGUGCAGGAGAGGAAGGUAGAAUUCCCGGUGUAGCGGUGAAAUGCGUAGAGAUCGGGAGGAAUACCAGUGGCGAAGGCGGCCUUCUGGACUGACACUGACACUGAGGUGCGAAAGCGUGGGUAGCAAACAGGAUUAGAUACCCUAGUAGUC